rnacentral:rRNA from 1 species
CCUACGGGAGGCAGCAGUGGGGAAUAUUGGACAAUGGGGGGAACCCUGAUCCAGCCAUGCCGCGUGUGUGAAGAAGGCCCUCGGGUUGUAAAGCACUUUCAGUGAGGAAGAACGCCUGGUGGUUAAUACCCAUCAGGAAAGACAUCACUCACAGAAGAAGCACCGGCUAACUCCGUGCCAGCAGCCGCGGUAAUACGGAGGGUGCGAGCGUUAAUCGGAAUUACUGGGCGUAAAGCGCGCGUAGGUGGCUUGAUAAGCCGGUUGUGAAAGCCCCGGGCUCAACCUGGGAACGGCAUCCGGAACUGUCAAGCUAGAGUGCAGGAGAGGAAGGUAGAAUUCCCGGUGUAGCGGUGAAAUGCGUAGAGAUCGGGAGGAAUACCAGUGGCGAAGGCGGCCUUCUGGACUGACACUGACACUGAGGUGCGAAAGCGUGGGUAGCAAGCAGGAUUAGAUACCCUUGUAGUC